UACGAAGGGGGGCUAGCGUUGCUCGGAAUGACUGGGCGUAAAGGGCGCGUAGGUGGUUUGUACAGUCAGGUGUGAGAUUCCCGGGCUCAACCUGGGGGCGGCACUUGAGACGUAGGAACUGGAGUGAGGAAGAGGGUCGUGGAAUUCCCAGUGUAGAGGUGAAAUUCGUAGAUAUUGGGAAGAACACCGAUGGUGAGGCAAGCACUCUGGACCGACACUGACGCUGAGGCGCGAAAGCGUGGGGAGCAAACAGG
rnacentral:rRNA from 1 species